ACUCCUACGGGAGGCAGCAGUGGGGAAUUUUGGACAAUGGGCGCAAGCCUGAUCCAGCCAUGCCGCGUGUGGGAAGAAGGCCUUCGGGUUGUAAACCACUUUUGUCAGGGAAGAAACGGCUCUUACUAAUAUUAGGUGUGGAUGACGGUACCGGAAGAAUAAGGACCGGCUAACUACGUGCCAGCAGCCGCGGUAAUACGUAGGGUCCAAGCGUUAAUCGGAAUUACUGGGCGUAAAGCGUGCGCAGGCGGUUGUGCAAGACCGAUGUGAAAUCCCCGGGCUUAACCUGGGAAUCGCAUUGGUGACUGCACAGCUAGAGUGUGUCAGAGGGGGGUAGAAUUCCACGUGUAGCAGUGAAAUGCGUAGAGAUGUGGAGGAAUACCGAUGGCGAAGGCAGCCCCCUGGGAUAACACUGACGCUCAUGCACGAAAGCGUGGGGAGCAAACAGGAUUAGAUACCCUGGUAGUCCACGCCCUAAACGAUGUCAACUAGUUGUUGGGGAUUCAUUUCCUUAGUAACGUAGCUAACGCGUGAAGUUGACCGCCUGGGGAGUACGGUCGCAAGAUUAAAACUCAAAGGAAUUGACGG
rnacentral:rRNA from 1 species